rnacentral:rRNA from 1 species
UACGAAGGGGGCUAGCGUUGCUCGGAAUUACUGGGCGUAAAGCGCACGUAGGCGGCUUCUUAAGUCGGCGGUGAAAUCCUGGAGCUCAACUCCAGAACUGCCUUCGAUACUGGGAAGCUCGAGUCCGGGAGAGGUGAGUGGAACUGCGAGUGUAGAGGUGAAAUUCGUAGAUAUUCGCAAGAACACCAGUGGCGAAGGCGGCUCACUGGCCCGGUACUGACGCUGAAGCGCGAAAGCGUGGGGAGCAAACGGG